UCUUGCAACCAGGCCUUUGUUUCAGGAGA
rnacentral:piRNA from 1 species